CCCCUCUCAGGGUCGCACCUGGAAAGUUUCCAAUACUCUACCAGUUUCGGCUAUGGGAGGGAGAAUCAAGCGGUCGUCUAUCCAUUCCAUUCCUAGCUUGAGCUCUGGCUAGUGAGUGGAAGGCAGUCUGCUACAAGU